GGACUUGCUCCGCGGCCAUGGUUUCCCCCCGCUCGGGAGCCAGUUCCAGCUCCUGGUCCCGCCCAGAGUUGCAGGUGUCGCGGGGGAGGGCUGGGGGCGCAGUGCAGGCAGCUGUGUCAAUCGUUUCCCCUCCAGGGACACGCCAGUGUCUUGGGACGGUGGGUUGUACAGCUGCGCCGGGCCUGCUUGGGCCGCCGCCCGGGAACGGGGAGGCCGGGAGCCCGCGGCUCGGAGCCGCCCUCGACCGGGCCUAGUUGGUGCAGGUAACGAUAGCGGGAACGGGGAGACCCGGAACGCUAGGCACCCGACAGCUGCAGCCACGAGCGAGGGAGGCCGCGUCUCUUUAAUGCGCCCCCUCUGGCCCCUCGACCCUUACCUUCGUCGUUCUCUCUCCGUCUGUCCCGGACCUGUUAAAAGUGACCCCGAGAAUAUUGGAUGGAUAAUUGGAAUAUAUUCUCUGGAGAUGGUGAUAUCCUUUGGGAAGUAAACUGCUGUCUAGUUGAAAGACAAAGCUAGGGAAAUUCCCUUGAGACAUGUUGCCUUACAAGGAUUGGUACCCCGCAACCUCUAAAGGUCCAGCUACCUCACGCUUGUCUUGAAACAGCCCUCUUCUCUCCAGAGUUUUCAUCCUUUCCCCCUCAAACAAAAACCCUUUUGGGGCUUCCUCAAGACUGUAAUCCAAAAUCCUUAUCAUGGCCUACAAGGUCCUACAUGUUCUGGCCUCUGACAACUCUAAUCCAUUUCCACAGUGCCAAGCCUGCCUCUGUCUACUGCUAGAACCUGCCAAACCAGCUCCUGCCUCAGGGCCUUUGUAGCUGCUGUUCCCUCCACUAGUUCUGGAGAUAUGCACACGACUCACUCCCUCACCUCUUUCAGGUCUUCACUCUAGUGUCUCCUCAGUAAUGCCUACCUUAACCAUGCUAUUUAAGUUCAACUCCUUACCUUGUCAUUUUUUCUCCAUAGUAGUCAUCUGUUUGUCUUACAUAUUAACUUCUUAUUUGUUUUCUUCUACUAGAAUAUAAACUUUGUGAGGACAAGGAUUGUUGGCUUUUGUUCACUACUAUAUGCCCAGCACAUCUAGAGUAGUACCUCACAUGCAGAAAGUAUGUCAUAAGUAUUUGUUGACUGAAAACCUUGUAAAUUAUGUUCAACUCUAUCUGUUGAUAUGCUAAUGUUUUAUUGUGUGGUUAACCUAUCAACUACAAAAGAUGCAUUAAAAUUUCUCACUAUAAGAGUAAUUUUGUCAAUUUUUCCCUGUAGUUUGAUUUUUGUUUUUAUAUUUUGAAGAUAAUUUAUUUGGCACAUUUAAGUUUACAGUCAUAACGUCCUGGUGGAAUUGAAAGCUUUUUAAAUAAUAUGAGAGAUUAAGUGCAAAAAUUGCCUGAAUUUUCCAUCCUUCCCUGUAUGCACAUCUUUUUUAACGUGACUUUACAGCUCCUCCUAGGAUGUAGGCUGGCCUUGUAGCUUGCGUUGACCUAAAGAAUGCGGCAAAAGUGAUACAGUCUGAGCCCGAACCUUAAGAAUCCUUGACAGCUUCCACAUUCUCUUGGAUCCCUGCCUCCAUGAGAACAGGCCUGGGCUAGCCUGCUGGAGGAUGAGAAGCCACAUGGAAAAGAGCUGAGGUCAUCCAAAACCAAUCAACAGCCAGCAGCCCCCAAACAUGCAAGCCUAACCAGGAUCAGCAUAGCUACCUACCUGAUGUGCAGCCACCCACAGAUGCAUGCGUGAGCAUACGUGGGACCAGAAGAACUGCCCAGCUGACUUGUAGACUCAUGAGCAAUAAUAACUACUUAUUAUGUUAAGCCUCUGAAUUUUGGAGUGGUUUGUUCUACAGCAUUAUUGUGGCAAUAGAUAAUUGAUGGUUAAUGCCUCCUCAUUUGGAUCUCAGCCUUGGAAAGGCUUUCCUGACUGCUCAGGCAAUCUAAAUCAGCUUCCCAGUCUCUGUGUAAUUACAGUGCAUUAUUUUCUCAGUAACACUUAUCACUCUCUGAAAUGAUUUUACUUCUUUAUUAUCUAUCUCCCACCCUAGACUGUCAACUACAUGAGUGCAGAAACCUUGUCCAUUCUGAUCCCUGCCCUAUCCCCAGCAUAGUACUUCACUGCCCAGCUGAGUGUAUCCACUGAACAUUAGAAAUAUGGCUAGUCCACUUGAAAUGUGCUGAAAAUAUAAAGUACAAACUGGAUUUCGAAGGCUUAGUAUAAAAAAUGUAUAAAGUAUCUCAAUUUUUAUACUGAUUAAAUGUUGAAAUAAUAUUUUUAAUAUAUUGAGUUAAAUAGAAUGUUAUUGAAGUAAAUUUUAUCUUUUUAAUGUGGCUACUAGAAAAAGUAAAUUCAUGACUUUCAUUAUAUUUCUAUGGAAGAAUACUGAUAUAGAAGUUCAGUAAAUAUUUAUUGAAGGAAAAUAUAAAAUAGACUUACCAAAAGAAAUGAACUAUCAAGCCACAGAAAGACAUGGAAAAACCUUAAAUGCAUAUUACUAAGAGAAAGAAGACAGUCUGAAAAGGCUACAUACUAUAUGAUUCCAACUAUAUGAAAUUCUGGAAAAGGCAGCACUAAAGAUCAUGGGUUCAUGGAGAUGGAGAAGUGGGCAAAGCAUUGAGAAUUUUUAAGGUGGUAAAAUGCUUCUGUAUGAUACUGUAAUGCUGGGUUCAUAAUAUGCAUUUUUCAAAACUCAGAACUAUACAACACAGAGUGUGAACCCUAAUGUAAACUAUGGACUUUAGUUAAUAAUGUAUGAAUAUUGGCUCAUUAAUUACAACAAAUAUAUCACACUAAUACUAGACAUCAAUAAUAAAAUGUGGGGGCAGAGUAGGAAGUAAAUGGGAGCUCUCUGUACUGUAUGUUCAAUUUUUUUGUGAACUUAUAACUGUUCUAAAAAAGUAAUUAAAAAAUGAAUCCACUCUUGAA